ACUGUAAUUCAUGUAAAGUAACGGGUCUGGAUUGCAAAUUGCUCUCAAACCCUAAUAUACCUCCCUUCCCUCUGCAAAUGUCAGGCGACGGUGUUGCUGCUCAGGCCACCUCGAGAUGUCGCGGCCGGCUCGACGGCGGCCUGUGGUCUAUCCUGCUCCGAUCUCUGCCUCGCCGACUCCGAUUCAAGCCUCCGAUCACGCCUGCUCUCUUUAUUCCAUUGAGGAGGCGGCUUCGGCUUGGCGGCGCUUCUGGUCCAAACCAGGUGCUGCCGCCGCUGCAUCUGCCUUGGUGAGGGGUUGGGUUCUACGACCGCCCUCUGCCCCAUUCCAAUUCCCGGUGAUGUAUCCUCCGCGGUCUCCGGUCGAGACACAGAUGACCGAGCUUCUUCACGCCUAAUCAUGGCGUACGCGGAUUCUACUGAGGGACUAUCACUUUUCUGAUUCACAGCCUUUGUUAAGGGGUCGGGGCAGUGAUGAAUCCUUCUCUGAGUCUCAAUAUUUCAAAUGGUAUUGGACUUUACAAUUUCAUUGCUACCAUUUGAGUGGUGCAGGUUAUGUAUGUGAUUCAGUUGUCUCUGAAUUGAGUGAAGUGUUGAAAUUUUGCAUAGGCAAAGGUGUAUAUAUUCAAGGAAGGUUUUCAGUAUCCAUAUAUCAACAUAAGAAUUAUGCCAAUUUCCUGAUUCAACUUUCCUUCCAUAGGCCAUUCGAUCAUGGUUUACCUACCGUAAUAUGUGCUUAUUUAAUUAUGUUGAUUGUUCGCUAUUUAUAUAUAUUGUGAAGUAUUUCAUCUAACUUGGUUAAUAACCUUCAGGGUUGAUCUCUUUGUUAUCCUCCUACUUAUGGAAUGUUGUUCAGUAUCUAUAAUCUGCCGUUGCCUGGGCAUAUUCUAAUAUGCAUGGUUAAGGCUGAGAGUGGAUGUACUCGCUUCAUAUCGUAUUCACCUGAUUUUUUCUCAUGCUGACGUCUGAUGAUACGCAUUCACGUACCACAAAGCUUUUAGAGGAGAAUGCUUAUUUUGGGAUGAAGCCCUCACAAGUAAAAAUGGUAAAGCAGGAGAAAGUUGCUUUUUAAGAUGAUAAUGAUGCUAGGGUGGCUGUGGAUCAAAUGUCAUGUUCAAAAUUCAGGCAAAGCCUCAUGGUCAUGGUGAUGUUCAUUCACUUCUCUAUUCAACUGGUCUUCUUAAAGAAUGGCAAGUUCCAUCUGCAUUGGGUGUCAGUGCCCAUCAAAGAGUCCCAUGUUAACUAUCUUGCAGUUCCCAGGAAAGCCAAGGAAGCUAUUGGAGGAAUUACUAAGCUCACUCAUAAAGAUGGGAGGUCAAUGGUGAUCAAUGAAACAGGAUAUUCUCCAUUUCCAGGCAAUAUAAAUUAAGUAUAUAAAUCGCCCGAAACUAUUAACACAUACCUUGUUAUACUAUUUCAGAUGAUCUAGCUGUGUUAGUGUGAUGAGUCAUGAAAUCAUGUGGUUUUUACUAAUGGCUAUAGUUUACCUUUUCGUUCUAUCAAGGAGUUUGUUAAUCCAAAGUUAGCUAUCUGUCUCUUAUAUCGGCUUUAUAUUUUCUUCUCUGCUUCGUGCGAACUUGUUGGCAUAGCCAUGCAGAUUGCAUUGGGCUAAAUGGACUGGGAAACGAUCAAGUAUUUAGCUCCAUGUAUUUUUAUUUGGUUGAAUAUGAUUGUGACUAUACAAAAUUCCAUUCGUAUUCUAUAUUGAUAUUGCUAUUGCUAUUGCUAUUGCUA